AAAACGACGUUAUGCAUGAACGUAAUGCUCAUAACUUCCCUCUAGACCUAGCUGCUAUUGAAGCUCCAACAAAUGGAUAAGACUUGGUCUUAGUGUAUAUAUACGAAUUUUUGAAAAUAGAAUAGAUAAAUAUAAGGAGCAAUAAAUUCUUUCUUAUUCUAUCAAGAAGGGUUAUUGCUCCUUUAUUUUGUUUUUAAUUCGUAGUCUUUUUUGAGUAGUAUUGUACUUACCUAGACUUUUUUCCAUUCUAUAAAAAAAGAAAGAAGAUCAAAAAAAUGAUUCAAAUUCGAUCUUUUGUCUUACAAUUUCUAAAAAAUCCAAAUUGACAAUAGAAUUCGUAAAAAAAAACGUAACGUAAAUAAAAAAAUAUUAAUAUAAUUUUAAAAUAUAUUUUUAAUUCAUAUUUAUUAAUUCUUAAUAAAGUAAAUAAAUYAGAAUAGAGGGGGCGGGAUGUAGCCAAGUGGAUCAAGGGCAGUGGGAUUUGGUGAAAUCCCCCCAUG
rnacentral:misc_RNA from 1 species